GUUUUAUCUAUUUUCUGCUUUUAUUUUCCCUUGUUCUUAAACUGCAAAAACAGAACUUCCUUUUAAACAUCAGUUUUUAAAAGAUUGAACCUAAAGUUAUCGUUACCUUUGUAUUCCCAGUUAGUUGAAAGCUAUCAAGUUUCAACUUCUAACCUUCGGUGUUUCUGCGGACGAUUUGAUGAUUGUAUGUUUAGUUUCCUUCUUGCCGUUGCAUUUUUUGUUAAUGGACUGCGAUAUGCUUCUACAGAUAUGAUGGAUUCUAUCUUUCUUUUAGUUCCCUCGUCCAAUGGUUGUUGAUGUUGAAGAUUGUAGCAAGUCGAAAACGGUCUGUUUUUGGGUGUAAGAUAAAGAUGACAAAUGUACCAGGUGCUCUAUCUGGUGUUUAGAGUAAUGGCUUUUCGCAAAUGAAUUUUGAAUAGCUUGUGCAGCAGGUGCGGGAAAAAAGUUUAGAGCACAACAAGGCAAAGGACAACGGGCAGAUGCUAAUUGCAUACACUUUGAAAAGUUCGUCAGAAUCGCCUUCAACACCAAAUGUUGCACCUUUUGAAGAUGAAAUAGUCCCUAUUUCAGCCAUUCCCUCACAGUCCACUGCACAAAGUUUUUAUGUUGAAGGAGAAAUAUCAUUGCCGAGUGAAUUUCAACUUUUCUUCGUGUUUUUAUGCUCUGAGUGUCAACAUCUAGCACGAAUCAAGCGCAAAACGAAAGUUCUUUGUAUCAAACUGCAAGCUAUAGAGAAUGUUGAUUCCAAGAUGUGUAUUUGAAGUUGAAAUCACAAAAGGGAGCGGAAUAGUAGCAGCACUAGUGUCAGUGAAAUUGGCUGAAAGAAUGCUUUCAUUAACAGCGGACCAAAUAUAUGAAACUACCAUUGUGAAAGUGUACAUACUGAUUCAACUUACUGGAAAUUAAUUUAAAAUCUUCACUUUACUAAUUCUGUGUGCUCUAAACUUUUCUCCGCAUAAGCAAUUGUUACCUGUUGAGCGCACCUGUUGUACAAGUUGUUCAAAAUUCAUUUGCAGAAGUCACUACUCAGGACGCCAGAUAGAGCAGCUGGUAUAUUUGUCAUCUUAUCUUACACCCAAAAAACAGGCCGUCUUCGACUUGCCACAAUCUUCAACAUCAACGACAUUGGCGAGGGAAGUAAAAGAAAGAUAGAAUCAAUCACUUCUGUAGAAGCAGAUCGCGGUCCAUCAACAAAAGAUGCAACGGCAAGCAAGAAACCAAACAUACAAUCACCAAGUCCUCCGCAAAAACACUGAAGAUACUUCAUCAUAUUUUGACUGCAACAAAAGUCGCCUGAAUGUUUUUUGAUAACCUACAGCAGUUGUAAUGCUUGCGUUCAGAUUUUGAUGCUGCAGUUCACUGCAUUACAAUGUUUCACAUUUUUGUGUAAAUAUCUAUGCAGAUUUUGAUGCGUUUUUUCAUUGCAGUACAAACUUUCACAUUUUGUGUAAAUAAGUAUGCAAACUAUGUCUUUGUAUAUUCUUGUAAAUGCAGGUAGCUCCUUUUAUGCAUGCAUUUAUGUUUCCA